AGCGUACACGGUGGAUGCCCUGGCAGUCAGAGGCGAUGAAGGACGUGCUAAUCUGCGAUAAGCGUCGGUAAGGUGAUAUGAACCGUUAUAACCGGCGAUUUCCGAAUGGGGAAACCCAGUGUGAUUCGUCACACUAUCAUUAACUGAAUCCAUAGGUUAAUGAGGCGAACCGGGGGAACUGAAACAUCUAAGUACCCCGAGGAAAAGAAAUCAACCGAGAUUCCCCCAGUAGCGGCGAGCGAACGGGGAGCAGCCCAGAGCCUGAAUCAGUGUGUGUGUUAGUGGAAGCGUCUGGAAAGGCGCGCGAUACAGGGUGACAGCCCCGUACACAAAAAUGCACAUGCUGUGAGCUCGAUGAGUAGGGCGGGACACGUGGUAUCCUGUCUGAAUAUGGGGGGACCAUCCUCCAAGGCUAAAUACUCCUGACUGACCGAUAGUGAACCAGUACCGUGAGGGAAAGGCGAAAAGAACCCCGGCGAGGGGAGUGAAAAAGAACCUGAAACCGUGUACGUACAAGCAGUGGGAGCACAGAGCAAUCUGUGUGACUGCGUACCUUUUGUAUAAUGGGUCAGCGACUUAUAUUCUGUAGCAAGGUUAACCGAAUAGGGGAGCCGAAGGGAAACCGAGUCUUAACUGGGCGUUAAGUUGCAGGGUAUAGACCCGAAACCCGGUGAUCUAGCCAUGGGCAGGUUGAAGGUUGGGUAACACUAACUGGAGGACCGAACCGACUAAUGUUGAAAAAUUAGCGGAUGACUUGUGGCUGGGGGUGAAAGGCCAAUCAAACCGGGAGAUAGCUGGUUCUCCCCGAAAGCUAUUUAGGUAGCGCCUCGUGAAUUCAUCUCCGGGGGUAGAGCACUGUUUCGGCAAGGGGGUCAUCCCGACUUACCAACCCGAUGCAAACUGCGAAUACCGGAGAAUGUUAUCACGGGAGACACACGGCGGGUGCUAACGUCCGUCGUGAAGAGGGAAACAACCCAGACCGCCAGCUAAGGUCCCAAAGUCAUGGUUAAGUGGGAAACGAUGUGGGAAGGCCCAGACAGCCAGGAUGUUGGCUUAGAAGCAGCCAUCAUUUAAAGAAAGCGUAAUAGCUCACUGGUCGAGUCGGCCUGCGCGGAAGAUGUAACGGGGCUAAACCAUGCACCGAAGCUGCGGCAGCGACGCUUAUGCGUUGUUGGGUAGGGGAGCGUUCUGUAAGCCUGUGAAGGUGUACUGUGAGGUAUGCUGGAGGUAUCAGAAGUGCGAAUGCUGACAUAAGUAACGAUAAAGCGGGUGAAAAGCCCGCUCGCCGGAAGACCAAGGGUUCCUGUCCAACGUUAAUCGGGGCAGGGUGAGUCGACCCCUAAGGCGAGGCCGAAAGGCGUAGUCGAUGGGAAACAGGUUAAUAUUCCUGUACUUGGUGUUACUGCGAAGGGGGGACGGAGAAGGCUAUGUUGGCCGGGCGACGGUUGUCCCGGUUUAAGCGUGUAGGCUGGUUUUCCAGGCAAAUCCGGAAAAUCAAGGCUGAGGCGUGAUGACGAGGCACUACGGUGCUGAAGCAACAAAUGCCCUGCUUCCAGGAAAAGCCUCUAAGCAUCAGGUAACAUCAAAUCGUACCCCAAACCGACACAGGUGGUCAGGUAGAGAAUACCAAGGCGCUUGAGAGAACUCGGGUGAAGGAACUAGGCAAAAUGGUGCCGUAACUUCGGGAGAAGGCACGCUGAUAUGUAGGUGAAGCGACUUGCUCGUGGAGCUGAAAUCAGUCGAAGAUACCAGCUGGCUGCAACUGUUUAUUAAAAACACAGCACUGUGCAAACACGAAAGUGGACGUAUACGGUGUGACGCCUGCCCGGUGCCGGAAGGUUAAUUGAUGGGGUCAGCGCAAGCGAAGCUCUUGAUCGAAGCCCCGGUAAACGGCGGCCGUAACUAUAACGGUCCUAAGGUAGCGAAAUUCCUUGUCGGGUAAGUUCCGACCUGCACGAAUGGCGUAAUGAUGGCCAGGCUGUCUCCACCCGAGACUCAGUGAAAUUGAACUCGCUGUGAAGAUGCAGUGUACCCGCGGCAAGACGGAAAGACCCCGUGAACCUUUACUAUAGCUUGACACUGAACAUUGAGCCUUGAUGUGUAGGAUAGGUGGGAGGCUUUGAAGUGUGGACGCCAGUCUGCAUGGAGCCGACCUUGAAAUACCACCCUUUAAUGUUUGAUGUUCUAACGUGGACCCGUAAUCCGGGUUGCGGACAGUGUCUGGUGGGUAGUUUGACUGGGGCGGUCUCCUCCUAAAGAGUAACGGAGGAGCACGAAGGUUGGCUAAUCCUGGUCGGACAUCAGGAGGUUAGUGCAAUGGCAUAAGCCAGCUUGACUGCGAGCGUGACGGCGCGAGCAGGUGCGAAAGCAGGUCAUAGUGAUCCGGUGGUUCUGAAUGGAAGGGCCAUCGCUCAACGGAUAAAAGGUACUCCGGGGAUAACAGGCUGAUACCGCCCAAGAGUUCAUAUCGACGGCGGUGUUUGGCACCUCGAUGUCGGCUCAUCACAUCCUGGGGCUGAAGUAGGUCCCAAGGGUAUGGCUGUUCGCCAUUUAAAGUGGUACGCGAGCUGGGUUUAGAACGUCGUGAGACAGUUCGGUCCCUAUCUGCCGUGGGCGCUGGAGAACUGAGGGGGGCUGCUCCUAGUACGAGAGGACCGGAGUGGACGCAUCACUGGUGUUCGGGUUGUCAUGCCAAUGGCACUGCCCGGUAGCUAAAUGCGGAAGAGAUAAGUGCUGAAAGCAUCUAAGCACGAAACUUGCCCCGAGAUGAGUUCUCCCUGACUCCUUGA
rnacentral:rRNA from 1 species